UGAGCCAUAGAUUUGUAUCAAGCCAAGAAUGUGGGCUGCUAAGGCCAGGGGGCCCACCAAACAGAGAGACCAGGGGGGAAGGGGUGCAGCAUCCUGCUCACAGCUCCCCUGGACUACUGGAGUCUGGGCCUUGCUAAGCGCAGACAAGGUCUGCUGAGUGAGCCAACAGGUUUCUCAUCCAUCUGGCGUCACUUUUAAAGGUUGUGCUGUCUGAAAUCUGGGGAAUGAACUGGCUGAUCUUUGGUUUGUUUCUGUCUGAGGACUCGCUGAACUUUGGAUUUGGAUUUCUGUUCUGUGACCAUGCACUGUAGCUUUUAAUUUUCUGAAGCAUACUUCAGGCUGCAGAAAUUAUUAGUCCUCGCCAUUUUGCACUUGAUAACUGGCAUUAGGACUGAUCAUUCUUCAGGCAAAUGAUGCUGAGGGGCCCCGCCCUGGGCUCACAACGAUGAACCAGAUACGCUAGGUGCUUCAUCAGUGCUGUUGGAUGGAUGGAUGAGAAACGGAGAAAAUGAAAUAAAGAAGUAAAAGAGCCAACAGGCCGGUGGGGAGGGGACAAUCACACUCAGGAAAAAUGCGACUCACGGUGAAGGAACCCUCGAGGAAAGAUAAGCACGGAGUGAUGGAUGCAGACGCAACUGGCAUAGUAUUUUACCAACAUUAAAGUGAUGCAUUUCAAGUUCCCCCUUAAAUCAAGUUCUGCUCGCUACCCUCCCACCUCUAAGUCAUGAGGCUUAUUGCUCAGGGCAGGAGAAGGCACUAACUCUGUAGCAAGACCCGGGCUUUGGAGAGGGGAAAGAGAGUGAGAAUGUGCUAAAAUGGUUUAGCUCCCACCGUACUCUGCGGGUCAGUAGGACUCAGACCUCAGCAUUCCCCCCAGGAGAAGAGGAGAUAUCCUUUCCUCAUCAGAUGACCAAGAGGCUCCCCUGGGCCACGAGGCUUUGUGCCGCUGCUCCUGCCACCUGGGGCAACGAUAUGUGUCUGGGCAGAGCCAGAACCGCCUUGGCUCCUGGUAUGGAAACAGGCCCAAUUUUCCCAGAAAACUGAAGCUUGAGAAACUUCAAUUUGUUUUAUCUGAGUUCUUUUAACAGGAAACCAACCACCAGGCCUCUAGAUUACUGCAGCCGGACAAUGAGACACACACCUGCUGCCUGUUGACCAUCUCCUGUCUUACCCCUCCCUAAUUCCCCGCUAUCUAAACUCUGAACUUUAGUCAGAGAGAUGGAUUUGUGACUAGUCUCCCAUUUCCAGGCUGAUGUCACUGAGAUUAAAGUCUUUCUUCCCUGGCAAUA